rnacentral:lncRNA from 1 species
CCACCAAGGACCCUGAGGAGGCACAGUGCGGGCGAUUCUUGCCACUCGGUCCGAUGGAGCUGCGGAGAGCUGCCCCUGCCCUGCCUCUCCCUCUCGGCUCCCUCCCUUCCUCUCAGGACCCCUGCCCGUCGACCUCCACACGCACACUGCGCCGCACCCUCCGGAUCAGCGCCUGUUGCCGUCCAGGCUCGCUGCUUUUCCUGGGGACGCCGGUUCUGAGGGCCAAAGCCUGGACUGGCCUUACUGACCCCACCCUCGGGUGGCCGCCUUUCCUCUUGCUCCUGGGCCUGCUCUGGGGCUCUCACAUUCCUGGCUUGGCUUUCCUCCCUCACUGUCCCGUGUCUUCCCUGGUGUUGGGGCCCCUCCCACCUGGGCCCCAAGCCCAGCUUCACUUUGACCAGUGGACACCUCCCUGGGCCCCUUGUCACCCCACCCUGUGAAGGGCCCCACUGUCCCUCACAGUGCUCGGGGGUCACCUUAGGCUCCUUCCUCCACUCCAUCAAGACUUCCAGACAGACACCAAGCAUCUUUUUACUCUAAAUCUGGCCCUGCCACUCCCUGAUUCAAAGCCUCAGUGGCUCCCCAGCACCAUGCAAUACACUUUAAAAUCCGAGUCAUCACCACAUACCAGUCUCUGGCCCCUAUUCUUCAUCCUCCUGGGUGGCUAAACUCGUUUCUUUCCAAGACCCUCUGUUUUCUUUCCUCAGGGGCUUGACAUUUUCCUGGCAGCUGCGGCUCUCUUCUCUUUUGCUUUCUCCCCCCUUCCCUCUCUCUCUCCUCUCUCUUUUCUCCCUAUUCUCCUUCCUUCCUCCCCCUUCCUUCCUUUCUUUGAUUGAACCCAGAGCCUUCAUGCUGAGCUACAUCCCCAGCCUUUUAAAAGAUGAGGUCUGGCUAAAUGGCCCAGGCUGUCCCCAUACUUGUGAUCCUCUUGCCUCAGCCUCCCAGAGAGUGUUGGGACCACAAACGUGCACCACUGUGCCACCUAUUUCCCUGGUGGUCACCUUGCUACCUCCUACUCAGGCCUUCUUCCAGCCCCCUGGUCAGGUCAGCCCGUCUCUUCCUCUCCAUGACAGGCCCUUGUGCACCAGAAGUGUCCCUGAGCACAGGCGACCUGAAAUUGCUCAGGAAUUGAGUCUGUUUCCUGCUGGAGUUCUGACGCACAGGGCUGGGUCUGUCUUGCACAUCCUGGAGCACUGUGCACAGCCCUUGGUGUUUCCAAGCUGUACAAGACCCCCACCACCACCUCACCCCCGCCAGUCUUGUUGCUCCACAUCCUCCCAGUGGGUGGCACUCUCUUUGCCUUUGUGA